UUGAGUAGACGAUACACGGUAUGGCCGGCUGGUGAGGGAAGACCGGAAGAAGGAGAAGAAUUAGCAGAUUAUUUCAUUGGAGCUUCUUCAGCUGUCUCCUUCAGGCUUCAGGUACCUUCUCGAUACCUUAAUCCCCCUUCGGAAAACCCUUCCUACGCCUAUAAACGACAAACUUUCCUCGAAUUUAUGAUCUGUUUCUGGUUAUCCUAUUCCAGGUUAAGAUAAUCUCUUCCAUCGGUAAUUUAACAUUGCCUUUUAUCCUUAUUUUGUUCCUUACUGAAUCGAAAGUUAGGGUUUCAUCGGGCGUGAAUAGAAACAAAAAUCCUAUUUGUGUUGAAGGUCUACCAGUUUGGCAAUUGAGAUUUUUGAGGUUAGAUUUCUGGAUUUUUCGAGUUCAUGCAUCCCUGAAUAAUACUUCAGAAUUUUAGGGCUGGAGGCCCCAAGAAGGGGGAAAUGGCAGAACCGAACAAUUUUUAUCGAACGAGGGGCCGUCGAUUUCGUGGAUUUUUUAAUUUUCUCUGUACUCUGGUGGUGUUUUUCUUCUUCUACAAUCGCAAAGAUAUUCCGAAGAAUCCUUUCCUCAGGCAGUUGCCUUCUACUCUUCCUCCUCAGUGGAACUCAAGAGGCGAUUUUUAUGACCGAAAGGGUCAUUCCGAGGUCAUUCACAGGAGAAUCGUUGAAACUGGUCUUAAUUCGUCGAAUUAUCUGGUCGGUACUGAUGGUGAAAUCCAGAAUAAUAUGACGGCAGACAAUCCAUCAGUGUGCAGUGGAUUAUUGGAACACGAGGGUUACGCCAGCCAAUGUGAGUACGUGAAAUCUCAACCGCAGUGCGCAUCAGAUGGAUUCUUUAAUUACAUUGUGUUCUUCUACUGCGACUGUCAAAACUUUAGGAUCUUGGGGUAUGCCGUCUUGGGCACAUGGCUUCUUGCUUUAUUCUAUAUGUUGGGUAAUACUGCAGCUGACUACUUUUGUUGUUCCUUGGAGAAGCUUUCAAGUCUCUUGAAGCUUCCCCCAACGGUUGCUGGUGUUUCUCUACUCCCUCUUGGAAAUGGAGCUCCUGAUGUGUUUGCUAGCAUUGCCGCUUUUGUGGGCACGGAUGCAGGUGAGGUGGGUCUCAAUAGUGUUCUGGGUGGAGCUGUUUUUGUUACUUGCGUUGUUGUUGGGACUGUCUCGCUUUGUGUUGCAGAGAAGAGGGUUCAAAUUGAUAGGAGAUGCUUUAUCAGAGAUAUUUGUUUUUUCCUCCUCACCCUUGUGUCACUUUUACUAAUUUUGAUAAUUGGUAAAGUGAGUGUUGGUGGAGCAGUUGCCUUCGUCUCGGUCUAUAUUGUUUAUGCUUUUUCUGUUGCUGCAAAUGAGAUCUUGAGGAAACAUGCCCGCAGGUUAAAGCUGGAUGCUGUGACGCCAUUGCUUCCAGUCAGAGGGAGUAUCUUUUCCAUAGGAAGUGAGGAAGAUGAAUCUAUUUACAGCUCACUACUGGACAUAGAAUCUGAGAGUGAUCCACCACACCUUCAUACUACCUUACCACAGUGGAUGUGGGCUUCAAAUGUGGCAAUUUAUUCAAAUCAGACAUCGAGGAUUAAUGAGUUAGAUAGCCCAAGGCGUUUGUGGGGAUGGACUGAUGAAGUAAGUGAUAUUGAUGACCGUUCACUCAUUUCCUGUUCUAAAAUAUUUUCUCUGUUGGAGAUGCCUUUAACACUCCCGAGAAGGUUGACAAUUCCAAUAGUUGAGGAGCAACGAUGGUCCAAAGUGUAUGCAGUCUCCAGUGCCUCAUUGGCUCCCAUGCUUCUGGCAUUUCUGUGGAAUACUCAAGAUAAUGUGGAUUCUCAAAGCAGAAAAAUUGCAUAUGUCGCAGGUGUUUUGGUGGGUGGUACACUUGGUGUUCUUGCCUUUCUCUUCACCCGAACUGAUCAGCCACCUCGCAAGUUCUUAUUUCCAUGGGUUUUUGGGGGUUUUGUUAUGAGUAUCAUUUGGUUCUACAUCGUUGCCAAUGAACUUGUUGCCCUCUUAGUGGCAUUUGGUGUAAUUCUAGGAAUCAACCCAUCAAUACUUGGAUUAACUGUGUUGGCCUGGGGCAAUUCAAUGGGUGAUUUGAUGUCAAAUGUCGCACUGGCAAUGAAUGGUGGGGAUGGUGUGCAGAUUGCUUUGUCAGGAUGCUAUGCAGGGCCCAUGUUCAACACACUUGUUGGUUUGGGGAUCUCAGUGCUGCUUGGAGCCUGGUCAAAGAAGCCUGCAUCUUACUUGGUUCCCCAAGAUAGUAGCUUGUUUUAUACCAUGGGGUUUCUCAUGUCGGGACUUUUCUGGGCACUCAUUGUUCUACCUCGGAAUGACAUGCGCCCUAGCAGGUUGUUGGGUGUGGGCCUCAUAGUGCUUUAUUUGAUAUUCCUCUCUAUCAGAAUAAGCAGUGCAAUAGGCGUUAUAUCACUUGCUGGUCUAAAUUGAUAUUUGGAUUGAUCACAACCAGAAGGAACAUGUCAACUUUGGCAGUUUCAUGACCUGCCAAAAGUGUGUUCAUGAAUUGUUCAUGUUGGAUAUUUAUUUGAAUCAAGGUGUCAUGCCAUUCCAUGGAAAUUUCUCUUUCUUUCCCUAGCCUCGAUAAAUACAAUUAUCUUAUGGUGUUCCGUAAGCAAGGAGGAAUCAAAGGUUCUAACUUUAAAAAACAAAUAAUAUCUUUCUUGUCCUCCUAUAUGCAUCAAGAUGGUGGCAAUUACGAGGUAAGAAAAUGGUUUGAGGAAACUUCAAGAGUCAAAUAUGAUGACUGUAGAAUUUCUGAAAUGCAACUAGACCUGUUCAUGGGCUGGGUGGCCCGAUGGGCGGGCUUGGCCCCCGGAUGGGCUUGAACUUGCAAUUGAGCCCAUGGGCUUGACCUCGGGCCAAAAGCCCGACCUGCAAUAAAUUCAAGCCGGGCUCGGGAUUUGCCAAAAUAGCCUAACCCGAGCCUGGCCCGGUUGGACCUAUAGACUAAACCCAAAAACCCUAAUAUCCUAAGUAACCUUUCUCAUUCAUCUCUUUCCACUUUUCUAGUUUGCCAAACUGCUAAACCUCUCUUCUCUUCACAGUGAUUCACAUCCUCCUCACACUCUCAGGCAGCCGCAGAAUCGGUGAACACUCAUCGGUGCAACAACUCUGGCAGACCGGCGGUGAGUCUUCUCUUUCUCUCUCUCUUUCAUCUUCUCACUUCUUCUCUUUCAAAUCUUAGACACUGGCGAGGCAACGAACACAAGCACUGGCGGCGGCGGUGAAUCAUCUCUCUCUCUCUCACUCAAACGCGAACUGACUCCACUUUUCACUGUCAAAAUCGUAGCUCACUGCGAACUCAGCACCGGCGAGCACAGUCACUGGCGUGAAGGUGUGGCUGCAGGAAUAGAUAUAGUUGACGAUGACUAUCAAGAGUUUGACAAGACUUUCACUAAGAAAAGAUUGACAUCUAAGGUGUGGGAAGAAAUGGAAAAUAUUAAUUCGGAGAAGGCACAAUGUAAGCACUGUAAGAAAAUCUUACAAGGGGGACCUGGCUUGUUAGGGGCUUCAUCAGGAUCAAGUUUUCAUCAGGAUCAAGUUUGUUAGGGGCUUCAUCAGGAUAAUGAAAAUGCUGCACUUGAUGAUAUGUUUUAGGAUGGUUUGGAACUUGGAAGUUGGAAUGUUCAAUCUUAAUGGUGAAUUCAAGAAUGAAUAGAUAUGGCUAAAACAUGUUUUGUUUGAUAUGAACAACGAAGUGGUCUUUUAUUUUAUUUUUUAGAAUGGUUUGAAACUUAAGAAUUGGAAUAUUCCAUCUUGUUGGUGAAUUCAAGAAUGAAUGGAGAACAUGUUUUAUGGA